rnacentral:rRNA from 1 species
UGGGGAAUUUUGGACAAUGGGGGAAACCCUGAUCCAGCCAUCCCGCGUGUGCGAUGAAGGCCUUCGGGUUGUAAAGCACUUUUGGCAGGAAAGAAACGUCGCGGGUUAAUACCCCGCGAAACUGACGGUACCUGCAGAAUAAGCACCGGCUAACUACGUGCCAGCAGCCGCGGUAAUACGUAGGGUGCAAGCGUUAAUCGGAAUUACUGGGCGUAAAGCGUGCGCAGGCGGUUCGGAAAGAAAGAUGUGAAAUCCCAGAGCUUAACUUUGGAACUGCAUUUUUAACUACCGGGCUAGGGUGUGUCAGAGGGAGGUGGAAUUCCGCGUGUAGCAGCGAAAUGCGUAGAUAUGCGGAGGAACACCGAUGGCGAAGGCAGCCUCCUGGGAUAACACUGACGCUCAUGCACGAAAGCGUGGGGAGCAAACAGGAUUAGAUACCCUGGUAGUCCACGCCCUAAACGAUGUCAACUAGCUGUUGGGGCCUUCGGGCCUUGGUAGCGCAGCUAACGCGUGAAGUUGACCGCCUGGGGAGUACGGUCGCAAGAUUAAAACUCAAAUGAAUUGACGGGGUCAUAGCUGUUUCCU